rnacentral:rRNA from 1 species
UACACUCCUGCGGGAGGCAGCAGUGGGGAAUAUUGCACAAUGGGCGCAAGCCUGAUGCAGCCAUGCCGCGUGUAUGAAGAAGGCCUUCGGGUUGUAAAGUACUUUCAGCGGGGAGGAAGGCGAUAAGGUUAAUAACCUUGUUGAUUGACGUUACCCGCAGAAGAAGCACCGGCUAACUCCGUGCCAGCAGCCGCGGUAAUACGGAGGGUGCAAGCGUUAAUCGGAAUUACUGGGCGUAAAGCGCACGCAGGCGGUCUGUCAAGUCGGAUGUGAAAUCCCCGGGCUCAACCUGGGAACUGCAUUCGAAACUGGCAGGCUAGAGUCUUGUAGAGGGGGGUAGAAUUCCAGGUGUAGCGGUGAAAUGCGUAGAGAUCUGGAGGAAUACCGGUGGCGAAGGCGGCCCCCUGGACAAAGACUGACGCUCAGGUGCGAAAGCGUGGGGAGCAAACAGGAUUAGAUACCCCUGUAGUCCC